GACGAACGCUGGCGGCGUGCUUAACACAUGCAAGUCGAACGGUGAAGCGCCUUCCUUUUUGGUGGGUGUGGAUGAGUGGCGAACGGGUGAGUAACACGUGAGUAACCUGCCCCCUUCUUCUGGAUAACCGCAUGAAAGUGUGGCUAAUACGGGAUAUUCUGGGUCUGUCGCAUGAUGGGUCUGGGAAAGAUAUUGUUUCGGUGGGGGAUGGGCUCGCGGCCUAUCAGCUUGUUGGUGGGGUGAUGGCCUACCAAGGCGGCGACGGGUAGCCGGCCUGAGAGGGUGGACGGUCACACUGGGACUGAGACACGGCCGAGACUCCUACGGGAGGCAGCAGUGGGGAAUAUUGCACAAUGGGCGCAAGCCUGAUGCAGCGACGCCGCGUGAGGGAUGGAGGCCUUCGGGUUGUGAACCUCUUUCGCCAGUGAAGCAGGCCUGCCUCGUUUGUGGGUGGGUUGACGGUAGCUGGAUAAGAAGCGCCGGCUAACUACGUG
rnacentral:rRNA from 1 species